GACCAACGCUGGCUGCCUGCUUAACACUUGCGAUUCGAACGCUGAAGCCUGUUGCUUGUCCCGGGUGGAUGAUUGGCAAACGGGUGAGAUAACACGGGAGUAUCCUGCCCCUGCACUUCCGGAUAAGCCCGGGAAACUGGGUCUAAUACCGCGAUACGACUGCCGGACGCCUCGUCUGGUGGUGGAAAGUUUUUUACUGUUGGGGAUGGGCUCCCUCCCUAUCAUUUUGUUGGUGAGGUAAUGGCUCACCCCCACCACAACGGGUAGCCGGUCUGACAGGGCGACCGGUCACUCUGGGACUGAGACCCGGCCCUCACUCCUACAGGAGGCAACAGUGGGGAAUAUUGUCGCACUGGGGGAAACCCUGAUGCAACGACUCAUCGUGCGUCACGACGGUCUUCGGGUUGUAAACCGCUUUCCGCAUGGAAUAAACUCAAGUGACGUGACCUGCCGAUUAAGUACCGGCUAACUACUUGCCUUCAGCCGCGGUCUUACGUACGGUACCAGCGUUGUCCGGAAUUAUUGCGCGUACAGAGCUCGUAGUGGUUGGUCCGUCUGCUGUGGAAACGCACCGCUUAACGUUGCGCGUGCAGUGGGAUACGGGUUGAAUAGAGUGCAGUAGGGGAGUCUGGAAUUCCUGGUGUAACGGUGAAAUGCGCAGAUAUCAGGAGGAACACCGGUGUCGAAGGCGGGUCUCUGGGCUGUAACUGACACUGAGGAGUGAAAGCAUGGGGAGCGAGCAGGAUUAGAUACCCUGGUAGUCCAUGCCCUAAACGUUGGGCACUAGGUGUGGGGGGCAUUCCACGUUCUCCGCGGCGUAACUAACGCAUUAAGUGCCCCCCCUGGGGAGUACGGUCGCAAGGGUAAAACUCAAAGGAAUUGACGGGGGCCCGCACAAGCGUCGGAGCAUGCGGAUUAAUUCCAUGCAACGCGAAGAACCUUACCAAGGCUUGACAUACACCGGCCUGUAUUGGAAACAGGUCUUCUUCUUUGAAGCUGGUGUACAGGUGGUGCAUGGUUGUCGUCAGCUCGUGUCGUGAGAUGUUGGGUUAAGUCCCGCAACGAGCGCAACCCUCGUUCUAUGUUGCCAGCAUGUGAUGGUGGGAACUCAUAGGAGCCUGCCGGGGUCAACUAGGAGGAAGGUGGGGAGGUCGUCAAAUCAUCAUGCCCUUUAUGUCUCGGCCCUCAAGCAUGGUACAAUGUCUGGUACAGAGAGAGGUGAACCCGUGAGGGCAAGAGAAUCCGUUAAAACCAGUCUCAGUUCGGAUAGUAGUUUGCAAUUCGAGUACGUGAAGUGGGAGUCGUUAGUAAUCGCAGAUCAGCAACGAUGCGGUGAAUAAGUUCCCGGGCUG
rnacentral:rRNA from 1 species